rnacentral:rRNA from 1 species
UACGUAGGGUGCGAGCGUUGUCCGGAAUUAUUGGGCGUAAAGAGCUCGUAGGCGGUUUGUCGCGUCUGCUGUGAAAGCCCGGGGCUCAACCCCGGGUCUGCAGUGGGUACGGGCAGACUAGAGUGCAGUAGGGGAGACUGGAAUUCCUGGUGUAGCGGUGAAAUGCGCAGAUAUCAGGAGGAACACCGAUGGCGAAGGCAGGUCUCUGGGCUGUAACUGACGCUGAGGAGCGAAAGCAUGGGGAGCGAACAGG